rnacentral:rRNA from 1 species
AUUGAACGCUGGCGGCAGGCCUAACACAUGCAAGUCGACCGAGUGGCGGACGGGUGAGUAAUGUCUGGGAAACUGCCUGAGGGAGGGGGAUAACUACUGGAACCGGUAGCUAAUAACGCAUACCACAGGAUGGGCCCAGAUGGGAUUUGCUUGUUGGUGGGGUAACGGUUCACCAAGCGGACUAUCCCUAGCUGGUCUGAGAGGAUGACCCGCCACACUGGAACUGAGACACGGUCCAGACUCCUACGGGAGGCAGCAGUGGGGAAUAUUGCACAAUGGGCGCAAGCCUGAGGCAGCCAUGCCGCGUGUAUGAAGAAGGCCUUCGGGUUGUAAAGUACUUUCAGCGGGGAGGCGUUACCCGCAGAAGAAGCACCGGCUAACUCCGUGCCAGCAGCCGCGGUAAUAC